UACGGAGGGUGCAAGCGUUAUCCGGAUUUACUGGGUUUAAAGGGUGCGUAGGUGGAUUUGUAAGUCAGUGGUGAAAUCUCCGAGCUUAACUCGGAAACUGCCAUUGAUACUAUAAGUCUUGAAUUAUCUGGAGGUAAGCGGAAUAUGUCAUGUAGCGGUGAAAUGCUUAGAUAUGACGUAGAACACCAAUUGCGAAGGCAGCUUACUACGGUUCGAUUGACGCUGAGGAGCGAAAGCGUGGGGAGCAAACAGG
rnacentral:rRNA from 1 species